AACGAACGCUGGCGGCAGGCCUAACACAUGCAAGUCGAGCGAGCAUUUCGGUGCUAGCGGCGGACGGGUGAGUAACGCGUGGGAACGUGCCCUUUUCUGCGGAAUAGUCCUGGGAAACUGGGGGUAAUACCGCAUACGCCCUUUUGGGGAAAGAUUUAUCGGAGAAGGAUCGGCCCGCGUGGGAUUAGGUAGUUGGUGGGGUAAUGGCCCACCAAGCCGACGAUCCAUAGCUGGUUUGAGAGGAUGAUCAGCCACACUGGGACUGAGACACGGCCCAGACUCCUACGGGAGGCAGCAGUGGGGAAUCUUAGACAAUGGGGGCAACCCUGAUCUAGCCAUGCCGCGUGAGUGAUGAAGGCCUUAGGGUUGCAAAGCUCUUUCAGCUGGGAAGAUAAUGACGGUACCAGCAGAAGAAGCCACGGCUAACUCCGUG
rnacentral:rRNA from 1 species